rnacentral:rRNA from 1 species
CAGUCGCCACGGUAAUACGUAGGUGGCAAGCGUUGUCCGGAAUUAUUGGGCGUAAAGGGCUCGCAGGCGGUUUCUUAAGUCUGAUGUGAAAGCCCCCGGCUCAACCGGGGAGGGUCAUUGGAAACUGGGAAACUUGAGUGCAGAAGAGGAGAGUGGAAUUCCACGUGUAGCGGUGAAAUGCGUAGAGAUGUGGAGGAACACCAGUGGCGAAGGCGACUCUCUGGUCUGUAACUGACGCUGAGGAGCGAAAGCGUGGGGAGCGAACAGGAUUAGAUACCCCAGUAGUCCCUGUCUCUUAUAC